AAAUUGGUGAAGCAAUGUUAUGAAGAAGCCAAUCUUAAUUAUCAACCUUGGAGGGGUUUGCAUUUUAGUACAUUGUGAUAUACUGAUAUUGAUUCUUUGGUGCUAUUAAUUGUACUCUCUACCCAAUAUGACAUAGCAUGCUUCUCACCAAUUUGGUAACUCUGGAUUCUGCCAAGGUUCGUCAGACUUACUUUAAUGGGCUUAUGUGGAUCAAAUUUGCAAAAUGAGUAAUGUUAGUCUCAUUUGCACAUAAUUUGCAACU
rnacentral:lncRNA from 1 species